CCUACGGGGGGCAGCAGUGAGGAAUAUUGGUCAAUGGUCGGGAGACUGAACCAGCCAAGCCGCGUGAGGGAUGAAGGUACAGAGUAUCGUAAACCUCUUUUGUCAGGGGACAAAGUCGGGGACGCGUCCCCGGAUGAGUGUACCUGAAGAAAAAGCAUCGGCUAACUCCGUGCCAGCAGCCGCGGUAAUACGGAGGGUGCGAGCGUUACUCGGAAUCACUGGGCGUAAAGGGCGCGUAGGCGGGAUAGUAAGUCAGAUGUGAAAUCCCAUGGCUUAACCAUAGAACUGCAUUUGAAACUGUCAGUCUAGAGUAGGCGAGAGGUAGGUGGAAUGCGUGGUGUAGGGGUAAAAUGCGUAGAGAUCAAGAGGAAUACUCAUUGCGAAGGCGACCUGCCAGAACAUAACUGACGCUGAUGCGCGAAAGCGUGGGGAUCGAACAGGAUUAGAUACCCUUGUAGUC
rnacentral:rRNA from 1 species